AUGAACGCUGGCGGCGUGCCUCAUACAUGCAAGUCGAGCGAACGGACGAGAAGCUUGCUUUUCUGAUGUUAGCGGCGGACGGGUGAGUAACACGUGGAUAACCUACCUAUGAGACUGGGAUAACUUCGGGAAACCGGAGCUAAUACCGGAUAAUAUUUUGAACCGCAUGGUUCAAAAGUGAAAGACGGUCUUGCUGUCACUUAUAGAUGGAUCCGCGCUGCAUUAGCUAGUUGGUAAGGUAACGGCUUACCAAGGCAACGAUGCAUAGCCGACCUGAGAGGGUGAUCGGCCACACUGGAACUGAGACACGGUCCAGACUCCUACGGGAGGCAGCAGUAGGGAAUCUUCCGCAAUGGGCGAAAGCCUGACGGAGCAACGCCGCGUGAGUGAUGAAGGUCUUCGGAUCGUAAAACUCUGUUAUUAGGGAAGAACAUAUGUGUAAGUAACUGUGCACAUCUUGACGGUACCUAAUCAGAAAGCCACGGCUAACUACGUG
rnacentral:rRNA from 1 species